GUCCCCAUCGUCUAGAGGCCCAGGACACUGCCCUUUCACGGCGGUAACAGGGGUUCGAAUCCCCUUGGGGACG
rfam:Legionella geestiana strain ATCC 49504 Lgee_ctg044, whole genome shotgun sequence.